rnacentral:rRNA from 1 species
GAUGAACGCUAGCGGCAGGCCUAAUACAUGCAAGUCGAACGAGAUUUUCCAGCUUGCUGGGCAAGAAAGUGGCGCACGGGUGCGUAACGCGUAUGCAACCUACCUUUAUCAGGGGGAUAGCCCGGAGAAAUCCGGAUUAAUACCGCAUAAAAUCACAGAACGGCAUUGUUCAUUGAUCAAACAUUUAUGGGAUAAAGAUGGGCAUGCGUGUCAUUAGCUAUUUGGCGGGGUAACGGCCCACCAAGGCGACGACGACUAGGGGAUCUGAGAGGGGCGCCACCCACACGUGUACUGGGACCCGGACCAUGCUCCUAUGGGAUGCGGUAGUAAGGAAUAUUGGUCAAUGGAGGCAACUCUGAACCAGCAAUGCCGCGUGCAGGAAGGCUGCCCUAUGGGUUGUAAACUGCUUUUAUCCGGGAAUAAACCUCCGAUCGUGAUCGGUGCUGAAUGUACCGGAAGAAUAAGGAUCGGCUAACUCCGUGCCAGCCGCCGCGGUAA